UCCUGAGGUUCUGCAGUAGACGUUCCUUCCUGAGGUUCUGCAGUAGAUCUUCCCCCCUGAGGUUCUGCAGUAGAUCUUCCCUCCUGAGGUUCUGCAGUAGACGUUCCCCCCUGAGGUUCUGCAGUAGAUCUUCCCCCCUGAGGUUCUGCAGUAGACGUUCCCUCCUGAGGUUCUGCAGUAGAUCUUCCCUCCUGAGGUUCUGCAGUAGACGUUCCCUCCUGAGGUUCUGCAGUAGACGUUCUCUCUGUGGUGCUAGCCGUCUGCCUCAUCCUCAUCGACCACUGAUUGCCUUCCACUCUCCCAUCACUCAUCAUGAGGUCUCAGUAUAUAAAUAUCUAUAAGGGUAUAUGUAAAGAAAUAGAAAUGAGCACAACAUUAAUGUAAGUUAUCUGAGUAUUGAGAUGUUACUUAUUUUGUAUUGCUUAUAUAUGAAAGUAUACUUUAAAUAUCUUAUUUUGAUGAAAAAAAGACCAACUACUGUUCUACGGUCGUGUUCCUCUUGUGUUUGAGCUCGCUGUAGAUGUUGAUUAGCGUAGCUGCUAGCUCGUGUCGUUCAUGUAUCGGUGGCAAACCAAAAAAAAUAAUUAGCGCUUUUAUGCGUCGCUUC